rnacentral:lncRNA from 1 species
AGGGCAGAGCAAAAAAAACAAGACAUCAGUAUUGCCGAGUAUUUGCUAGUACCUGUUCCCAAGCUAAGUCUGUCGGCAGAGGCACGGGUGUGCCGACGGUGGCAGGCAGGCUCUAUACGGACGAGGGAGUUGGGAACCAGACAAAGACGGGAGCUGUCCGCGGUGCUGAAGCCGCGCAGAAGGGCUCCUGUAACCGCACUGCCCUCUUAGAGCCUCCUUCCUUAUAAUCCCAUUUUUGCUCCCGAACUCCUCUGCGUUCAUUUCACUUUUGGGAGGCCUUCUUCGAAUCAAUGUCUUUAAUGGAAGCCUAUCUGUCUAUCCUAUCUAUCUAUCUAUCUAUCUAUCUAUCUAUCUAUCUAUCUAUCUAUCUAUCUAUCUAGUCUAUCUCCUAUCUAUCCAUCCAUCUUGAAGAACAAAUCGGCCGAUUAAAAGCAAUUUCUUCUUUCCACCCCAAAUACGGGAUACAGGAAAGGUUUCUUUUAAUUACACUCACCCUCCACUCCCGGCAAAGACAUGGAAGCGUGUAUUUAAAACAAUAAAACCCAAACACAACGAAUACCAACA